GACAACAUGGCGGAGUGGUUAACGCGGUGCCCUGCUAUAAGUUGAAAGGCAUUUCCCUCUGGGAGCGCAGGUUCAAAUCCUGCUGUUGUCG